AGAGCGAACGCUGGCGGCAGGCUUAACACAUGCAAGUCGAACGGAUCAUCUUCGGGUGGUUAGUGGCGGACGGGUGAGUAACACGUGGGAACGUGCCUUUAGGUUCGGAACAACACAGGGAAACUUGUGCUAAUACCGGAUGUGCCCGAAAGGGGAAAGAUUUAUCGCCUUUAGAGCGGCCCGCGUCUGAUUAGCUAGUUGGUGGGGUAAAGGCUUACCAAGGCUACGAUCAGUAGCUGGUCUGAGAGGAUGGCCAGCCACAUUGGGACUGAGACACGGCCCAAACUCCUACGGGAGGCAGCAGUGGGGAAUCUUGCGCAAUGGGCGAAAGCCUGACGCAGCCAUGCCGCGUGGAUGAUGAAGGUCUUAGGAUUGUAAAAAUCCUUUCAGCGGGGACGAUAAUGACGGUACCCGCAGAAGAAGCCCCGGCUAAACUUCGCGCCAGCAGCCGC
rnacentral:rRNA from 1 species